rnacentral:rRNA from 1 species
GUGUCAGCAGCCGCGGUAAUACGGAGGAUCCAAGCGUUGUCCGGAUUUAUUGGGUUUAAAGGGUGCGUAGGCGGAUCUUUAAGUCAGUGGUGAAAGCCUGCAGCUUAACUGUAGAACAGCCAUUGAAACUGAAGAUCUUGAAUGUGGUUAAAGUAGGCGGAAUGUAUCAUGUAGCGGUGAAAUGCUUAGAUAUGAUACAGAACACCGAUAGCGAAGGCAGCUUGCUGAACCAUUAUUGACGCUGAGGCACGAAAGCGUGGGGAGCGAACAGGAUUAGAUACCCUGGUAGUCC